rnacentral:rRNA from 1 species
UACGUAGGGGGCAAGCGUUGUCCGGAAUUAUUGGGCGUAAAGAGCGCGUAGGCGGUCCGAUAAGUCGGCUGUGAAAGUCAGGGGCUCAACCCCUGAAUGCCGGCCGAUACUGUCGGGCUAGAGUCCGGAAGAGGCGAGUGGAAUUCCCGGUGUAGCGGUGAAAUGCGCAGAUAUCGGGAAGAACACCUAUGGCGAAGGCAGCUCUCUGGGACGGUACUGACGCUGAGACGCGAAAGCGUGGGGAGCGAACAGG